AGCAGCCGCGGUAAUUCCAGCUCCAAUAGCGUAUAUUAAAGUUGUUGCAGUUAAAAAGCUCGUAGUUGAAUUUCGGGGUCAGUAGGUCGGUCGUGCCACUGGUAUGAACUGGUUUUACUGAUUCCUCCCUCUUGAAGAACUGUAAUGCCAUUAAUUUGGUGUUGCAGGGAAUCAGGACUGUUACUUUGAAAAAAUUAGAGUGUUUAAAGCAAGCUAACGCUAGAAUACAUUAGCAUGGAAUAAUGAAAUAGGACGUUCGAUCCUAUUUUGUUGGUUUCUAGGAUUUGACGUAAUGAUUAAUAGGGAUAGUUGGGGGCAUUAGUAUUCAAUUGUCAGAGGUGAAAUUCUUGGAUUUAUUGAAGACUAACUACUGCGAAAGCAUUUGCCAAGGAUGUUUUCAUUAAUCAAGAACGAAAGUUAGGGAUCGAAGACGAUCAGAUACCGUCGUAGUCUUAACCAUAAACCUAUACGCCGACUAGGGAUCGGAUGAUGUUAAUUUUUAANGUACUCAUUUCGGCNCUUACGGGAAACCU
rnacentral:rRNA from 1 species